UUGCUUUUCUGAAUCUAGUGGCGAACGGGUGAGUAACACGUAGGUAACCUGCCCAUGUGCCCGGGAUAACUUCUGGAAACGGAUGCUAAAACCGGAUAGGUAGCAGACAAGCAUUUGACUGCUAUUAAAGUGGCUAAGGCCAUGAACAUGGAUGGACCUGCGGUGCAUUAGCUAGUAGGUGAGGUAACGGCUCACCUAGGCGACGAUACAUAGCCGACCUGAGAGGGUGAUCGGCCACACUGGAACUGAGACACGGUCCAAACUCC
rnacentral:rRNA from 1 species